GAUGAACGCUGGCGGCGUGCCUAAUACAUGCAAGUCGAGCGAACAGACGAGGAGCUUGCUCCUCUGACGUUAGCGGCGAACGGGUGAGUAACACGUGGAUAACCUACCUAUAAGACUGGGAUAACUUCGGGAAACCGGAGCUAAUACCGGAUAAUAUAUUGAACCGCAUGGUUCAAUAGUGAAAGACGGUUUUGCUGUCACUUAUAGAUGGAUCCGCGCCGCAUUAGCUAGUUGGUAAGGUAACGGCUUACCAAGGCAACGAUGCGUAGCCGACCUGAGAGGGGGAUCGGCCACACUGGAGCUGAGACACGGCCCAGACGCCUACGGGAGGCAGCAGUAGGGAAUCUUCCGCAAUGGGCGAAAGCCUGACGGAGCAACGCCGCGUGGGUGAGGAAGGUCUGCGGAUCGUAAAACGCUGUUAUUAGGGAAGAACAAAUGUGUAAGUAACGAUGCACGUCUGGACGGUACCUAAGCAGAAAGCCACGCCUAAUUACGU
rnacentral:rRNA from 1 species